rnacentral:lncRNA from 1 species
GUGACAGGAGGGAAGGGCUGGGAUCAAAGCCCCCCCCCCCCCCCAUGUCAGGAAUGUAAAAGUGAAUAAGGCAAAUUUCCUGUUCUCAGUGUCCUCACUGGCUGGUCAGGUAAAUAGCCCUGGGGAGGCUUCCUAAAAGAAAUAAGAUUUGAAUUGUCCUUAGAAUAGAUAAUACUUGAGCAGGCAGAGGUGAAGGAGGAAAGGUGUUAAAAGAGAGAGCCACUCAUUUACAAUUAAAAAAAAAAAUACUUUUCAAGCAUCUUCUAUGUGCAAAUCCCCAAUUCUGGUGUGAGCAAUGAACAAGACAGAAUAGGUCUGUUCCUUUGUGGAGCUUAUAUUCAAGAGGAAGGGAACCAGAAGGGAACCAGAAAUGGAACGAAUACAUAAGAUAAUUUUGUAUUGUGCUAUAUCCUAGGAAAGAACCAAAUCAGACUGAUACGGUAGUAGGGCAUAACUGGGGAUGGGAGGACCAAUUUAGAAAGGAUGGAUGGUCAGGGAAGACUUCUUUUUUAAAGUGAUACCAUUUGAGCUGAGACAGGAAUGGUGGGAUGAAGCCAGCCGUGAAGGGAGUCGGAAAAGCCUUCUAGAGAAAAGGCAUAGCAAGUGCAAAGGCACUGAGGCUGGGCAUGCUCAGGAUGUGACCCACAGCCUCAGGAAUUUGCUUGGAGCUGUAGCUGAACUUCUCUAAUUUGGGUUGCUCUUAUUUUCAUACCAAGAUCAAAAGAAAUAUUUGAAGAGAGUACUGGUCUUAGAAGUUAAAAUGAGCUUGAUCCUGUUCAGCUUUUCUAGUCAUAUCUUAAUAACUUUGGUCAAGUUAUUUAACCCCCCUUGGCCUCAGUCCUGUGAUCUGUGACAGGAGGGUGAUGGUUGGGUAAACGUCCUUUCUGCCCUUAGGGGUACACAGUGGCAUGUCAGUGAGGACAACCCACAGACAGACUAUAGACACUGUUCAUCUUUGUGGGCUAUUAAUUCCACUAAGACUUGGGAAAAAUUAUAUGUGAAUAAUAUUCUGCACUAGAACACAAAAUUCCCUUGCAUUUGAAAGCUUAAAAGUCAAACGUCGAAGAUAUUUCAUGCUUUUGACAGGCCACUUUAGGCACGAUUUCCAUCCUCAUCAAAACAUUUCCCUCAUGGAUUUCAGUGGAAGAGUUUGAAAAGCAUUAAUCUAGACACUCUCUAAGAUUUUUUCCAGCUGUGAUUCUAGGACCGCGAUUCUGAAAGAGUCCUUCCUCUUUGAGUUAUUUAUUGCUAACUUUCUGCCUCUGUGAAUGAAUGAAUUAUCCACAGAAUAUUGUCUUACGUUGCUUUUAACUCAAGGGAACUCCUUUUCACCAAAGAACUUUAAAGCCAAACAUCAAGGAUAUUAAACAACAAGUUUUGAGAGAGGGGAAAGGACCUUAUAAAUUAUUUGUGGAAAGUGUUUUGAUUUUACAGCAAUAAUUACAGAUGCCUCACUCUCUAGCCAGGUCUUAAAGGAGAUGUGCUGCCUUUGUGGUCAGCGUUUUUAUUUGAAUAUACCCAUGUAUCUAAAAGUGCAUUUCUGGAAUUCCCAUCGUGGCUUGGUGGUUAACGAAUCUGACUAGGAACCAUGAGAUUGCAGGUUCGAUCCCUGGCCUUGCUCAGUGGGUUAAGGAUCCAGCGUUGCCGUGAGCUGUGGUGUAGGUUGCAGACGUGGCUCAGAUCCCAUGUUGCUGUGGCUCUGGCGUAGGCUGACGGCUACAGCUGCAAUUCGACCCCUAGCCUGGGAACCUCCAUAUGUCGCGGGAGCCGCCCAAGAAAUAGCGAAAACACACACACACACACACACACAAACAAAAGUGCAUUUCUUCCCUCCUAACCUGGAGUUCACCCAGUAGCUUCCAGAGGAUUAUAUUAUAGCAGGAUACUUUUAACUGUAAGCAACACUAUCCCCUGCUUACACUGACACAAACAGUAAACAGAUAUAGUACCCCAUGUAACUGGAAGCCAGAAGUUGGGCAUUUCUGGUUCCAUUUUUCUAGGAUCUCACCUCUACUCCCCAUGUCACCUUUUUUCUCAAACUGGCUCCUAUCGUGGUCCCAAGAUAAUUGCCACUGCUAGUGGCAGUUGUCCCUAAUUAUAGUGGAAGAAAGGGCUUCUUUCCAGCCAUAGACUAAAAAUUCUUUCUUCUGGCCUGAUUGGUUGACUUAGGUUGUGUGCUCGCUUCUGAACCAUCAAGAUCAAGGCGAAUGAGACGAUCACGGUAAGAGGAGGCUCCCUAGACUCAGCCUUGGAUCCGGGGAUAAGAUCUACUUCCCCUGAGAACUAGGGAAACCUGAGCUAAAUCACGCUCCAUUACGGAGGAGGAGGGGGAGACGGGGACCUUAUAGGUAGGAGUCCAUAGCAAUGACUAGAGAUGUUUUAACAGUGAAUGCUAAUUUGUCCUUUACUGCUGGCAGCCAAGUUCUGUGGAGCAGCAGUUUCCUAAUUGCCAACAGAAACGGAGAGGGACUGAAAAUUUUCACUUAGAAGAUGUUUACUGAGUCCCUACCGGGUUUUAAGAACCAAAACCGACAGAGUAGUCAUGUAAACAAAUAGUAAGUGUAGUGAUUAGAAUGACCGAGUGCAUAGGGAUACAUCUUAUUGAUCUUAUUCACUUUCCAUCAAUAUCUGCUCCAUGCUAAGCUCUAUGGGAGCAGAGACUUCUCCACUGCUUUGUUCACUGUAUCUCAUAGCUAACACACUGCCUGACACAUACUAAGCAUGCCACACAUAUUUAUUGAAAUAAGGUUUAUUGGAGCCAGAAUCAUCCAUCAGUGAUUUCUGAAAGGAUAAUGGCAUAAUAGAGACACGUACCGCAGAAACCCAUUUAUAGGCUGGAAUAGUUGGAGGGUUCUGUGAGGUAAGACUGAGGAGGUAUGUUAAUUCCUUCUUACUUGGAGAGUGUUAGUAUAUAAUGAAGGAAUUCUGAUGUCAGGAAAGCUCUGAGACUUUGUCAUAAUGUAACAAGUUGGAUGAUUUCUACACCCUAGAAGGCGGUAACAGUUUUUAUUGAAUGUUUACUAUGUGUUAGGUGCUGUGCUAAAUGUACAACUAAUGUAAAUAUCAAAUUUACCACAGCACCUAACACAAUGCACAUUCAAUAAUGAAUGAAUGAAUGAAUGUAUGGUGAGCUUUCUAAACAGAUUUGUGAGACUGUUAUGAUUAGAUUAAAUAGUUCAUACCCGACUGUGCCUUCCUGAAUGUAUUUUUUUUCUUUGCUUUUCAUGGUGUGAUCUGUGAUAUUCGUGCUUUGUGAUUUUAAUGGCGAGCUAUAUUUCUAGUGGAAAAAUGUAAGCUAGUGAAAUGUGCUUUGACUCAGUAUUCCAUGUCAAACAAGAGUCUGAUUAUUUGGAGCACACAGGCAUAGAUUUUGCACCUAAAAGAAUUGCCUUCUUGGGAGUUUCCAUGGUGGCUCAGCAGGUUAAGAACCUGACUAAUAUCACUGAGGGUGUGGGUUCCAUCUCUGGCCUCGCUCGGUGGUUGCCGCAAGCUGCAUUUUGGAUCUGGGAUCCCACGUUGCUGUGGCUGUGGUACAGGCUACCAGCUGCAGCUCCAGUUCAUCCCUAGCCUGGACACUUCCACAUGCUGCAGGUGUGGCCCUAAGAAAAAAGAAAAGAGAGAAAUUACCUUCUUAAUGUCUGAAAGCAAAUAACCUCAAGGUCUACCAACCAAAUAUGUAGAUUGCUAUCUAAAGUCCUACGGAAUGGUUUGGCAGUGUAUUUGGAAAGGACUCAAAAGCCCAUGUAAUCCACCUUCCCAUCUCAUAGAUGGAAAGCAGGAGAUCAGACCCGUGGGCUGGUGGCCUGCUACUUCCGUGCUGGCCAAGUGGGAGAGACAGAACUCAAGCUCAGGUUUUUCACCAGAGCUGCAGUGCUUCAACCACGUGAGGAAAUAAAGGAGAACUGAGAGCAGCAGGCUGAUUUUCAAAGUUUGAUUUUAGGCAAUCGCUUAGCUUCGAGCCAUGGGGGUCUUGCAAGUCUUGAAUAGACCUUUAUUUCACUAAUGGGCCAUUUGGCAUAAGGAAAAAAAUUAAAGUAACAAUCUCCUUAGGUGGUGGAGAACAUUAUUCUAUGGAAAAGACGGAAGUUAUUGUCAGAGGAAGUGGCAACAUUGACUGUAUAACACUGGGAAUUUAAACAAAAACUCCUUGGUGGCUCCUUCGGAAGUACAUGGUGGGGUAAUGACUUUGCUGACAUUGAAGAGGAAAUGUUCCUUUGAGAACGCAGCUUCCGUUGCCACAUCGAGGAGACUAUCAGUUUACCUCUUAGAAUAUUUAUUAUCAUUGUUCUUGUACUAAAAUGUCUGAUACAUUUAGUCACUUUAUUCACCUACUUUCUUGCUGUUUCAUUCUUUCUUCCUUUUUGCUUUUUAGAGCUGCAUGUGCAGCAUGUGGAAGUUUCUGGGCUAGGGGUCAAAUCGGAGCUGCAGCCGCUGGCCUAAGCCAUAGACACAGCAAUGCAGAAUUCAAGCCCCUACACCACAGCUCACAGCAAUGCCAGGUCCUUAACCCUCUGAGCGAGCCCAGGGAUCGAACCUGUGUCCUCAUGGAUACUAGUUGAGCUUGUUACCUCUGCGCCACAACGGGAGUUUCCCUGCUAUUUCUGUUUAUUCAGAAAUUUCCUCAAACAGGUUUGACGAUAAUCCACGACAUCCUCCAGUUAUCCCUGUCAUUUUAUCCCCUCUAAAUGGCCGGGACAGAUGAAAACUCCGUCAUUGUUCAUUCACUCUUCUGUAUAAUGUAGAGGGAUAUUGCGUGAUACUUCCCAGUGGCCAUACAUACUUGAGAAUGUAGUUCUACUUUAUUUUCAAAAUAAUUUUUUUUUUUUUCUGGAACGUUGUUCCUGGACAAGCUCACAGCAAGUUUGCGUACUUUGCAUCUGGCUUGGCAGUUUGCCCCAAACCCAUUUCACUAAUACUGUCAUGUUCUGUGUCCCCUUGUAGGGAUCAGUGUGUAUGUAGAGAUCUUUACUUAGUUAUU